rnacentral:lncRNA from 1 species
UGGAAGUAGGGUGCGCAACUCAGAAAUGCCCAUGAGUGCAGCAUAGCUUGGAAGGCCUUUGAUCUCCGUCCAUGCUGCCCUCUACUAGGUUCUACCCAUCACCAGCCGUUGCAGUCUGACGUUCAAAAGAAGAGUCUUUAGGACAAACAACAACCCAAUAUAUUAACAUUUGGAUUGAGGACUGGCCCUUCUCUGGCACAAAAUACCCGACUCCGUGACAUUGAAUGUUCUCUUUAGGUGUUUAAUGCACAACCGGAGAAGGACACACUAGUUUCAGUAACAGUGUGAUGUUUAAAUGGCAGGCAGGAUACUCAUACUCGGAGAACUGUGGCAAAAGAAGGGAAAUGGAGGGAACAUUUGUUCAGCUCUGUGGUAAGCCUAGCAUUUUCUUUCCUGCAGAAGUAUUAGUUGUGUCAGCUACGCUUUUGUACAAAUGACAGUGCAGAAAGGAACUGCCGAACCAGAUGGUUGAAGGGAUGACGUAUUUGUCCUAGGCCCACAUUCUGGUCAACAGGAGAAGGACUUUCUAGAGAGAUCAAGGAACCCAUCAUCUCUGUUCUCUCAUUUGGUUGGCUCUCAUCAUUCUUACAGAAGGAAAAGAAAUGCCCUUUUCAUUCCCAUUUUCCAUGUGACUGGUGGAUGUCUGGAGGGCAGGUGAUUAUUAAUGCUGACUCUUGGGAGUUUGGCGAUAUUAUAAGUUAAAGAACAUUUGGGUCCAUAAGGAUUGUGAUUUCAGCAAUCCCUGAACUUUAGUUUUCAUAUGUGUAUAGGGGCCACAUGUCUGGAUUAGAUCCCAUUAAAAUGUAUAGCUAAAUAAGACGCCACACUCACGGGCUUCAAGGAGCAUCUUCACACUGUGGGUCCCCAUUCCCUGCGUGCGUAGGAAACACUGUGAUCACAGUCAUCUCUAGCAGGUCUCCCGCCAUCAAUCUCUUCUGACACAAUUGUGUGUGUGUGUUCUUUCUUCCCUCUGUAAGAAUCUGUGUAGUGAAUGAGAUGAGUAGACGAGAAAUCCGGUACUGAAGAUGUGAUGGGAUGUGGCGAGUCAGGAGAAGGGGUCCUCUGGGUAGAAGCAAGUAUGGGCAUUUGAUAAAAAGCUGGUUUGUCUUUGUAUUUUCAAUAGAUCAUAAUAUAAGAGAGUAAUCAUAUAAUAUAUAUGCAUAUAUAUGCAUCAAUAAACUAUAGGGGCACAUUGUUCCUGAGAACUGCAUUGUUAGGUGUUUUGAUAGUUGUAUGAACAACAGGGUGUGGGCUUGUAUAAACCUAGGUGGUAGAAGGUAACCAUCAUGGAAGGAGGCCUCUGGCUGCCUUCAGGAGAUAGAUCUGUGAGAAGACUGAGACUGCUGUGGCAUACAGCUUCAUAGCAAACUCUCUAUAAUCAAAAAGAAUGCAGUCACUUAGGGUGUAGAAUAGAAAGAGAUGUGAACUAGUGCUAUAGCCCCUCACGAUCACCGCUAUGUUUCAUGUAAAAUAUAUAAUGUUUUAUGCUGUAAAAUUGUGUGACAGGCACUGGAGUAGGUGUGUUCAUGCCGGGUCACAUUAAAAGUAUGAGUAAUAUCGUGAACUAUAAUAUUACUAUGAAGCUGGGCAGGUGAUGGGGCAUGCCUUUAAUCCCAGUGCUCAGGAGACAGAAGCAGGCUGAUCUCUGUGAGUUCCAGGUAAGCCGGGGCUACACAGAGAAACAUUGUCUCAAAAAUCCAAAAUAAUAACAAUGAUAAUGAUACUACUACUGCUAAUAUUACAAUGAUGGCAUCAUUGCUAGGUGAUACAUUUAUGCUAGGUGAUGAAAUUACUGCUAGGUCAUACAUUUUUGCUAGGUCAUACAUUUUUCAGCUACAUAACAGCAAUAUGGGACCACCACACAGGCAGUCUGUUGUUGAUCAAAAUCUUUUUCUUUUCUUUUCUUUUCUUUUCCCAUUCUUUUUAAAAUUGGAUAUUUUCUUUAUUUACAUUUCAAAUGCUUUUCCCUUUCCCGGUCUCCCCUUUGGAAACCCCCUAUCCCAUUCCCCCUCCCUCUGUCUUUGUGAGGGUGCUCUCCAACCCACCCACCCACUCCCGCCUUCCCCCCUGGCAUUACCCUACACUGGGGUAUAAACACCCUCAGGCCCAAGGGCCGCUCCUCCCACUGAUGUCCAACAAGGCCACCCUCUGCCACCUAUGUGGCCGGUGCCUUGGGGUUGACCAAACUCUAAUUCUUCACUGCACCGGUAUGUAUUUGAACCCCUGAGAAGAUAUCUAACCUUCCGGGUCCUUUUCUUGUGUGUCUAAAGUUUACACUAAGGACAGGAUUAUGGCAUCGGAGGCUGCAGGUGGAUUAAAGUGGUAACCACCAUAAGGACCCAGCCAAUCCUUUGUACUGUGAUAGUGUCCUUUCCCUAACCCCAUGGAGGAAUAGUGACAGCAGGCAGGAUUGCUAUCCCUGGAACUGAGCAGGCGAACUUGAGGACGGGUCCCCGAAACCAAUCCCCAAGACUCAUGCUAUUGUUGCCAUUGUGAGAAGGUGGCUAAAAUCAGAACUUAGUAAAAAGUGUGCCUACUCCAAGCCCAUGAUGCAGAUUUGUCCCAUUAUUGAGUUCCAGAGCACAAGAACUGAGGUCCUAGGCUCACAUCUGGGCUCAUCUCGUCCCACUUAGCCAGAGCUGGAGAACGAACAGGAGCCAAUGAAGCAACGGAAAACACCAGUCCCACCUUUUAAGACCUUCUGGUUUCUAAGCAUAUAGGGUUCAGUACGUAGCAAUGCCAGGCUGGCAGCGGGUAAGGGGCUCACUUCAUGGCCUCUCCUUACCCAUUCACCGAAGAUGGGGGAACUUUCUGAUUGAACCCAGUGAUAUUUCCUCUACUAGACAAGUCGUCAAGAAACAACAGCAGAACGCCCAAGUUAGCAUGUUAAUCUCAGCUAGCUGGGUGUGUUUUCUAUUAUGUGUGAGUGUGGAGAAGGCUGGGUUCUAACCCCUGGGCCACAGGGCUUUUCUCAGCAUCUGAGAAGAGAAGGCAACACUUAGCCAAUUUAUAACUUGGCUGACACAUUCCAGGGGACCAAGUCAAGUUUAACAAAAAAUGUGAGCAUUUACUAAGGUGAUCCCAGGUAAUUAUGAUCUCAUUUAAUAUUUAAUCUUCAAUUACUUCUUCUAGAAGCCCCUGAGGUAGGAUUAUUACCCACUUUUCAAAUGAGACUUGAAUGGCUUAAAAAUGCCUCACCGAAUACAGCUCCUAAUGGGGAAGCGGCUAAGUGGCCUGAGCCUCUGACCCCCAGUUCCCGCUUUGUCCACUCUUCUAUUCAAGGAGAAGUGUGGCUUUGGAACACCUCCUAUUGGACAAGUUUUCCUUAUGUUCACUGUGCUCUGAAAUGUGCAGCGGCCUGUUCAAAACACUCUUCCUGCAUUAGAGAGACUGCAGUCCUGUAGAUAAGGUAGACAAUAUUGAAAUGUUGAAGCAGUUUGUCAAGUGUUUUGAUGAUAAAAUAUACAAGGGAUUGAGAAGACCCUCUGCUAUCUGUCUGUCUCUGUUUCUCUCUCUCUCUCUCUCUCUCUCUCUCUCUCUCUCUCUCUCUCUCUCUGUAUGCAAGCGUAUUCAAUGACUGAAGAUAAAAGUGAAUUCAGCUAGUCUCCUAUAUGGAGGUCAAACUUAACCCAGUUCUUGAGAUACCUUAGAGCUAAAUCUGUAGAAACGAGAAAGGCCCUCAAGUCAGUAGAACUAAGGGCCUUUUGUAGAGUAGUAAUGUAUGUCAAAGGAGUUCAGAAGUUUUGGCUGGAAGGGGUGUUGUGUGAGGACAGCAAACGGUGCUUCCUCGAGGAAGUAAAUGUGACUUGGAGUGUACCUCCCAGGUGUGUAGAGCACCAAGAAGAAGCUGCUGGGUUGGGGCUUCGUCCUUUGCUGUGAACUGCCAACAUACAUGUGGCAUCAGCAAACUGUGGUCUGGGGUUAUCUUCACUCCUGCUGAUUGAGAGCCAGGUAUGUGUUGGGUCACUGGAUCCAUUUGCAGUGGUUAUGGACCAUUUAUUCCAGGAAUUUUGGCAGUAGGGACGGUUUCAAGAAACAUCACUCAGAGCUGCGGGCACUCCAAGUCACAGUGUGACUGGCUGGCUGUGCUUUGACACUGCCAUUCCUUCAGCAUUCUCUUCAUAGAGAACUCAGGGACCCUCUGCAUGUGUUAGGGACUAUGGCUGACACUGGGGAUAGCAUGGUACUUGAAGCAGGCUCAAGUGUUACCUUCAAAGCUCUUAGUGUCUAGUGGGGAAGUUGAGGUAAAACUUAACAGCAACCCAGGCCUCAGUGAUGCAGGAAGUGCCAAGAAGGGCAUGCUAUAUCUCCCAGAAGCAUAGAAACAGAGUCCAGACUUGAACAAAUCAGAGGACAGACAUCUGAUCUCAGUUUGCCUUUCCCUUGGAGAGGCUGGAAGAGGAUUCCUGGUGUGUGCAGAAUUUCAUGGGAAUCUGCUGUGACGUCCAUGGAUACCUUUAGCAGAUACAAAAGAAUGAAUACUAAACUACCUCUAUUUCCAAAGUCAGACAUUGUCUUCUUAGAAUCUGACAAGAAGGACCCAACCACAGGAGGUGAGCAUAGGCGAAAAAUAUGACACACAGGAGAGAAGGAAGAAAGGAAGCAAGG